rnacentral:rRNA from 1 species
GGCACAAGCAAAUAAUUAAAACUUUUAACAACGGAUCUCUUGGUUCUGGCAUCGAUGAAGAACGCAGCGAAAUGCGAUAAGUAAUGUGAAUUGCAGAAUUCAGUGAAUCAUCGAAUCUUUGAACGCACAUUGCGCUCGCCAGCAUUCUGGCGAGCAUGCCUGUUCGAGCGUCAUUUCAACC